rnacentral:rRNA from 1 species
AAAGUCUGAUGGAGCAAUACCAUGUGAACGAUGAAGGCCUUUUUGGUUGUAAAGUUCUUUUACGAGGGAUAAUUAUGAUAGUACUUCGUGAAUAAGUGACAGCAAACUAUGUGCCAGCAGCUGCGGUAAUACAUAGGUCGCGAGCAUUAUUCGGAUUUAUUGGGCGUAAAGCAAGCGCAGGCGGAUGUGUAAGUUCUGUGUUAAAUGCAGCUACUCAAUAGUUGUAUGCACCGAAUACUACAUGUCUAGAUUGUGGUAGGGAGUUUCGGAAUUAAGCAUGGAGCGGUGGAAUGUGUAGAUAUGCUUAAGAACACCAGAGGCGAAGGCGGAAACCUAGGCCAUAAAUGACGCUUAGGCUUGAAAGUGUGGGGAGCAAAUGGGAUUAGAUACCCCAGUAGUCCACACCGUAAACGAUGGGUAUUAGAUACUUGGACUUUAGCUUUAGUGUUGUAGCUUACGCGUUAAAUACCCCGCCUGGGUAGUACAUAUGC